UGGGGAAUAUUGCACAAUGGGCGCAAGCCUGAUGCAGCCAUGCCGCGUGUGUGAAGAAGGCCUUCGGGUUGUAAAGCACUUUCAGCGAGGAGGAAGGUGGUGAGCUUAAUACGCUCAUCAAUUGACGUUACUCGCAGAAGAAGCACCGGCUAACUCCGUGCCAGCAGCCGCGGUAAUACGGAGGGUGCAAGCGUUAAUCGGAAUUACUGGGCGUAAAGCGCACGCAGGCGGUUUGUUAAGUCAGAUGUGAAAUCCCCGGGCUCAACCUGGGAACUGCAUUUGAAACUGGCAAGCUAGAGUCUCGUAGAGGGGGGUAGAAUUCCAGGUGUAGCGGUGAAAUGCGUAGAGAUCUGGAGGAAUACCGGUGGCGAAGGCGGCCCCCUGGACGAAGACUGACGCUCAGGUGCGAAAGCGUGGGGCAGCAAACAGGAUUAGAUACCCUAG
rnacentral:rRNA from 1 species